UACGGGGGGUGCGAGCGUUGUCCGGAAUCACUGGGCGUAAAGGGCGCGUAGGUGGUUUGAUAAGGGUGUGGUGAAAGCCCGGGGCUCAACCCCGGGUCUGCCGUGCCGACUGUCAAACUCGAGGGCUGUAGAGGCAGACGGAAUUCCGGGUGUAGCGGUGGAAUGCGUAGAGAUCCGGAGGAAGACCGGUGGCGAAGGCGGUCUGCUGGGCAGUUUCUG
rnacentral:rRNA from 1 species